rnacentral:rRNA from 1 species
GAACUCGGAUGAAGGAACUAGGCAAAAUGGUACCGUAACUUCGGGAGAAGGUACGCCCCUGACGGUGUUAAAGCUGUUGGGGGCCGCAGAGACCAGGCCGCUGCGACUGUUUAUCAAAAACACAGCACUCUGCAAACACGAAAGUGGACGUAUAGGGUGUGACGCCUGCCCGGUGCCGGAAGGUUAAUUGAUGGGGUUAGCGCAAGCGAAGCUCUUGAUCGAAGCCCCGGUAAACGGCGGCCGUAACGAUAACGGUCCUAAGGUAGCGAAAUUCCUUGUCGGGUAAGUUCCGACCUGCACGAAUGGCGUAACGAUGGCGGCACUGUCUCCAUCCGAGACUCAGUGAAAUUGAAAUCGCUGUGAAGAUGCAGUGUACCCGCGGCUAGACGGAAAGACCCCGUGAACCUUUACUGUAGCUUUGCACUGAACAUUGAACUUGCUUGUGUAGGAUAGGUGGGAGACUAUGAAACCGGGACGCCAGUUCUGGUGGAGUCAUCCUUGAAAUACCACCCUGGCGAUUUUGAUGUUCUAACCUCGACAUAACAGUGUCAGGGACAGUGCAUGGUGGGCAGUUUGACUGGGGCGGUCUCCUCCCAAAGAGUAACGGAGGAGCGCGAAGGUGUGCUAAUCUCGGUCGGAAAUCGAGAGGUUUGUGUAAAGGCAUAAGCACGCUUGACUGCGAGACAGACAAGUCGAGCAGGUACGAAAGUAGGUCUUAGUGAUCCGGUGGCUCUGAAUGGAAGGGCCAUCGCUCAACGGAUAAAAGGGACUCCGGGGAUAACAGGCUGAUUCCUCCCAAGAGUCCAUAUCGACGGGGGAGUUUGGCACCUCGAUGUCGGCUCAUCGCAUCCUGGGGCUGAAGCAGGUCCCAAGGGUAUGGCUGUUCGCCAUUUAAAGCGGUACGCGAGCUGGGUUCAGAACGUCGUGAGACAGUUCGGUCCCUAUCUGCCGUGGGCGUUGGAGAUUUGAGGGAAGCUGACCUUAGUACGAGAGGACCGGGUUGGACGAACCUCUGGUGUUCCUGUUGUCACGCCAGUGGCAUUGCAGGGUAGCUAUGUUCGGACGGGAUAACCGCUGAAAGCAUCUAAGCGGGAAGCCCCUCCCAAGAUGAGAUCUCCCUAACCCCUAGAGGGUUCUAAAGGGCCGUUGGAGACUACGACGUUGAUAGGCUGGGUGUGGAAGUGCGGUAACGCAUGUAGCUAACCAGUACUAAUUGCCCGUGAGGCUUGAUCCC